rnacentral:rRNA from 1 species
AAUGAACGCUGGCGGCGCGCCUAAUACAUGCAAGUCGAGCGAGAAGACGUAGCAAUACGUUUGUAAAGCGGCGAACGGGUGAGGAAUACAUGGGUAACCUACCCUCGAGUGGGGAAUAACUAGCCGAAAGGUUAGCUAAUACCGCGUACGCUCCUUGGACUUCGGUUCAGGGAGGAAAGCGAUACCGUGGGUAUCGCGCUCUUGGUUGGGCUCAUGUCCUAUCAGCUUGUUGGUGAGGUAACGGCUCACCAAGGCUUCGACGGGUAGCUGGUCUGAGAGGACGAUCAGCCACACUGGCACUGCGACACGGGCCAGACUCCUACGGGAGGCAGCAGUAAGGAAUAUUGCGCAAUGGGCGAAAGCCUGACGCAGCGACGCCGCGUGGGGGAU